GAACGCUGGCGGCGUGCUCAUACCGUCCGUAGUCGAACGCUUUUGUUUUCCCGGAGCUUGCUCCACCGAAAACAAAAGAGUGGCGGACGGGUGAGUAACACGUGGGUAACCUGCCCUCAAGCGGGGGAUAACACUUGGAAACAGGUGCUAAUACCGCAUAACAAUCAGAAUCGCAUGAUUUUGAUUUGAAAGGCGCUUUUGCGUCACUUGAGGAUGGACCCGCGGUGCAUUAGCUAGUUGGUGAGGUAACGGCUCACCAAGGCCACGAUGCAUAGCCGACCUGACAGGGUGAUCGGCCACACUGGGACUGAGACACGGCCCAGACUCCUACGGGAGGCAGCAGUAGGGAAUCUUCGGCAAUGGACGAAAGUCUGACCGAGCAACGCCGCGUGAGUGAAGAAGGUUUUCGGAUCGUAAAACUCUGUUGUUAGAGAAGAACAAGGGUGAGAGUAGAAUGUUCACCCCUUGACGGUAUCUAACCAGAAAGCCACGGCUAACUACGUGCCAGCAGCCGCAGGUAAUACGGUAGGUGGCAAGCAGUUGUCCGGAUUUAUUUGGGCGUUAAAGCGAGCGCAAGGCGGUCUCUUAAGGUCCUGAUGUGACAAGCCCCCGGAUCUCAACCCGGGGAGGGUCAUUUGGAAACUGGGAGACU
rnacentral:rRNA from 1 species